rnacentral:ncRNA from 1 species
UAUAAAGCUGAGAAAAGAAGAGUAAAUAAGGAUUUUUUCUACAGAGAGCUAGAUUAGGUGAAAGCUAGCGUUAAAUGAAUUAUUGAAGAUGGUCUUGGAGCUUUUUAUCUGAACGAUUAAUAUCCUUAGGAUAAAACGGUUAGACGCGUUAUAGUCUACUAAGAUAUCUAAUAUUUAUGUAGAUGACUUAUACAUGAUUAAAUAGAUAAAUUAGGGUGGUACCGCGAAUAAUCUCGCCCCUAUG